AUGGGCCGGAUCAGACAACCGCCCGGGAAGGGGCUCGAGUUGGUCGCGGGUGUUGAGGACGAUGGUGGUGACACCAAGACCCUUGGGGUGGCCAAGACCCGCGGCCUCGGCCUCGUCCUCCUGGGCCUCCUGGCCGCCCUGCCAGGGCUGCAGGCGGCCGUGGAGCUGGUGGAGGCCGGAGGCGGCCUCGUGGCGCCCGGCGGGAGCCUCCGCCUCUCCUGCAAGGCCUCCGGCUUCACCUUCAGCAGCUUCGGCAUGGGCUGGUUCCGACAGCCGCCCGGGAAGCAGCCCGAAUACGUUGCGAGUAUUUACAACGAUGGUCGUUACCCCAGCUACGCAUCGGCGGUGCAGGGCCGAUUCACCAUCUCGAGGGACAACGGGCAGAGCAGCCUCUACCUGCAGAUGAGCAGCCUCAAGCUGGAGGACACGGCCACCUACUACUGCGCCAAGGCUUAUGGUGGUUCUGCUGGUGCUUGGGUUGACGCUCACCGUGUGAAGGGUCCUGCUGCUUAUGAAAUUGACGGCGGGAACCCUCUUGGUGGCCAAGAGCCCCCUGGGAAGCCCUCAUGG